rnacentral:rRNA from 1 species
CAGCCGCCGCGGUAAAACCAGCACCUCAAGUGGUCAGGAUGAUUAUUGGGCCUAAAGCAUCCGUAGCCGGCUCUGUAAGUCCUCGGUUAAAUCUGUACGCUUAACGUACAGGCUGCCGGGAAUACUGCAUAGCUAGGGAGUGGGAGAGGUAGACGGUACUCGGUAGGAAGGGGUAAAAUCCUUUGAUCUAUUGAUGACCACCUGUGGCGAAGGCGGUCUACCAGAACACGUCCGACGGUGAGGGAUGAAAGCUGGGGGAGCAAACCGGAUUAGAUACCCGGGUAGUCCCAGCUGUAAACUAUGCAAACUCAGUGAUGCAUUGGCUUAUGGCCAAUGCAGUGCUGCAGGGAAGCCGUUAAGUUUGCCGCCUGGGAAGUACGUACGCAAGUAUGAAACUUAAAGGAAUUGGCGGGGGAGCACCA